rnacentral:rRNA from 1 species
UACGUAGGGAGCAAGCGUUGUCCGGAAUCAUUGGGCGUAAAGCGCGCGUAGGUGGCCUCAUAAGUCCGCUGUGAAAGUCAAAGGCUCAACCUUUGAAAGCCGGUGGAUACUGUGAGGCUAGAGUACGGAAGAGGCGAGUGGAAUUCCUGGUGUAGCGGUGAAAUGCGCAGAUAUCAGGAGGAACACCAAUUGCGAAGGCAGCUCGCUGGGACGUUACUGACGCUGAGGCGCGAAAGCGUGGGUAGCAAACGGG